GACGCAAUUUUUUUGAAGAAUUUGUGUUUCUUUCUGCAUGAAAUUAUGGAUUUGAAGACAAUCAAUCGGUAUGUUCUUUUAAUUUUUAUAUUCUGGUAAGAUUUCAUGAUUCCCGGUUUUCAUUUAUCCUUUGAUUUCAUAGUUUAUGGGUUCGAUUACAAUGAUUAGCUUUGAAAUUAAUUUCAAAUUUCCUAUAUUCUUGACAAAUCAAAAUAUUUUUGAAAUUGGACAUGGUACCAACGAACUGGUGUAAGGGAUAAGGCUCUGUUCUGGACAUAUAUAGGUUUAAAAAAAGAAGUCGAUCCAAAUGGACCUUUUGAUUGUUGGUUGUUUUAGGUUUGCUAGAUUCUUUUUCCUCCUUCUAUUUAACUUUUUUUUUAGUGGGGAAUUGAAAAGAGUUUUUCUUACUGGCAAUGAUUUCUCCUAUGGGUUGAAUAAUAUAUUAUUUUGAAGGGAGUUGAUGCUAUCUAGAAGACUUUCCGAAGAAAAAGAUGAUAAAUAUUAUGAAAUCUUAAUGGUACAAAUUGACCAAUUUCUUAUUUGAAUUGUACACGUUUUUAAUGGAAAACGAGGAAUUAGUCCGAAAUUGUUUCAUUUUGGGUUUUUAAAUAAAGAAUAUAUCAACAAUUACUUACCGNNNNNNNNNNNNNNNNNNNNNNNNNUAUCUUUUUUCCGAAUAGAGUGAGUAGCAAUAACAUGAAUUAUUAAUAACUUUUCUUUGUAGCAGUUUCUUUAAUGAUCAUUUUUUUCAUAUUGAUACUUUAUGCAUAUAUUCCCACUAUUUGUAACAUAUGCAGACAAUAGAAAUGUACUUUUAGAAUUAAAAAUCACUAAAGCUUUUUAUUUACAAUCUUCUUUUUUGUUUAAUGAGCUUUUCAUUUUUGGAACUUAAAAAUCAGUAAUUAUCUACAUCUAUCUAUGAUGCCAUUUGACAAAUAAAAGCAUCAUACUUUCAAUAGCUUUAUGGUCUUUUAUUUAAAAAAAACUGAAAGUUAAAACAACUUUUUUCUGUUUUAUAUUUGUGCAUAUAAACUGUAUGACUAUAGUGAACAUAUUUUCUAAAGUUUAUGAUUAAAAUGCUAUUAAAAUAAUAUAGACAAGUUUUUUCAGUAUACUUCUGCAUUUUGUUUCCUCUUUCUCUACAACCAACAUACACGAUAGUAUUUGAAUUGUGUACUGCAAAAUGAAAGGUAAACAGUGAAUAUAACUAAAGGAAACAAUUUAACUAUUUAUAAUUUAAAUAUGUGAUUGUAUAAAUACCUUGGAUAAUAAAUGUUUUCCCACAACCAAAUGCACCAGGAAUGACACAUGUCCCACCAAGAACUAAGGGGAAAAUAGCAUUGAAAACACACUAAUACAAAAAAAAAGGUGAUUAGAUAAUAAAGGGGUAUAAUGGUCAAUGCUGUAAAUUUAUAUUAAAGAUACAUGUCUAGGGCAAGGUGUACAUGACCUGCAAAUAAGAAUUUAAUAAAUAUAAGAAAUAUAUACUUAAAACUUGAUUAUGUUGAUCAUUUUCUUAGAAAAAGAAAUGUAAAAACCUAAAGCAUGGUGAAUUUCGUUUUGACAUCUUGCAAUCCAAGUUAGGAAAAAAUGUCCUUAAUAAAUAAUAAAUAAUAUAUAAUAUUAUAAGAAAUAUCAUCUUUUUUAUAAUGGAAAAAGGGUUUAGAGAAAAAUCUUCAAUUAGCAUUGACUAGGUGAUGCAAUAUAUGUUACUUUUCCUAUUCCAUCAUGAGAUAGACCAAUGACAUGUUUCAGUAAAUUGUUCUCAAACACACUCUGCAUAAAAACAACAAGAUAAUUUCACACAAUUCAUCACCAUUUAAUAUAUUUUGAAAAUAAAUCAAACAAGAAAACUUUUUAAUUUUAGAAAUAAUCGUGGAUCUUAUUAUUUACAACAUAUUUCUGUUUGGUCAAUUUAACAAAAAGAUAUUAUUAUAAAUUAAUACCAAAUCUUUCCAUGAAUAUAUUACUUUUUAUUUUUAACUGAAAUUUAUUUUUUUAUUUAUUGCAAGUUUUUUACCAACAAUGUUUUUUCCAUUCAUAACUAUUUUAUACAAUAUACUUUAUAUUUGUUUAUGCAUAUUCAAAUAAGAAUUGCAUUUUUAUGAUUAAUGAUUAACCAGGUUGAGUUUUUUUCCAGACUAUUCAAUCUUAUGUUUCAUUAUAUAACAAUAUCAUUUUUUAUUAAUAUUCAUUAUAUAACAUUAUCAUUUCUUUUCAUUACUCUACACGUAAAUAAUGUAGUUCGUAUCUUCAAACCAUUUUCUAUAUUAAUUUAAUCAACAGUUAUAUCUAUCAUUUUAAGUUAAUAAAUGUUUGAAAAUUGUUUAUUAAUGAUUAUGUUUUUGAAGUAUCAAUAUUCUUUUAUUUUGCUAACCGUGGUUUCCACGGGUUAUAACCUAGUACUCAUUAUAACGAGCAUAGAUGUAAUUCUAGUUUGUAAUCUUUAAUGAUUUGGAGGUCUUGCAUUUCCAUUGCGGUAUUUUAGCCUUUAUAACUUGGCAUGCUAUAUCUCCAAAAAUUAUGAGUUGUCAAUUUAAAUAAACUAUUUUUUUUCCUCUUUAACACAAAUAAGUUCCAAAUUUUUACUUUUCAUAUGGAUCGACAUCAUCACAGCAUAGUAGAAGAUGAUAACUUAAACCCCGAAUAUGUAGCCAAGCACACCCAAGAACAAAUCCAUUUAAAACUAUAAAAUUACUAAUCCCACAUGUGACCCUACCACUCUUAACAAAGCAACUUGCAGUUAGUUUACUAAAAAGAAGUCAAAACAUAAAAACUGAUGAUCUUUUCAUGCCGACAUUUGUAUUCAUGGUGGAAUAUAAAAUAUAUAUUUUUUCCAUUUUAAGAAAUUUCAUAAUUGGUGUUAGUCAAUGUUUGACCAGGUUUACAAGAGGGCAAGAGCACGUGGGUGACUGGAACGUUAGAAUAGGGACGUUGCUAUUUUAUCUCUUUUUCUGUUAAUUAGCACUAUUUAUUAGUUGUAGUUCAGCAAAUCAUUCAUCAGUCGAAAAUUCAUUGUAUAGCACCUUAAUCAUUAGGCUGCUAGUAUUCUUCAGUCAAUAAAGUAAUCGUUCGGCUGCCAUUUCCAGUUUUACCCCUGUACCCCUGUUCUUGUUUAUUGCUAUAUUGCUUGAUCGCCAACAUUUGGUAUCAGAGCAAACAGAUCCUGAUCAAUUGUAUCCCCAAGUACCCUCGAUUCAACAAGAUGACAACCCCAUCUUCAUCCAAUCAGUCCAAGGAUAGCCCCUUCACCCUACAGUGCCCAAUGUUAACUUCACUAAAUUACAACACCUGGU
rnacentral:lncRNA from 1 species